CUCGAACACACGUAUUUGCGGGCGCGCGCCUCCGUCCUCGUGAGUUCAAAGUGGAUUUUAACCGUUUACCUCAGACGACAGUUUUCAUUUCUAUGGCAAAUUCUAAGGUCAUUUUCUUGUUGUGUUUUGAUGUUUUCCAUUGGCUGAAGAAUGCCCAAUCUGUACCACUCAAAAAGUAAUGAAGUGACAGUGUACCAUGACAAAAAAUAUGAGCCUGAAGAGGAGAUUUGGGAAGAUGCUGUUUAUAAGUCUUUGCUUUGCCAGAUCACCUGUGGUCGAGAUGUCUGCUAACAAGAUGCCUUGUUGGUCUGGGCGAGUUUGAAGUCUCUCACAGACAAUCCAGAAGGUCUGGAGUCCAUCUUAGCUUUUAUUGAACCCAUCAGCAACCAUCAAGAGAAAUUGGAGGCAGCUGAGCUAAAUUGCAGAUAUUGAUGCAAAUGAUCUGUAUAAUAUGCUGUCAUCAGGUUUUAAGUACAGUAUGAGCCAGAAUGGAAGGGUGUUGGUGGCCAUAAGAAGACUGUGAGCUAAACCUACAACAAAAUUCAUAUUUGCAGUUUUCCUAGAAUAUUUUUUUUCUAUUCAGAUGAAUAAAAUGACUUUUAAAUAUUAUUUUGUUUUCAUAUUUUAUGUUUUUAUUCUGUAUUUGGAAUAUUCCACUUUCGCACUACUAACUGGAAACCUAACUGUUUGAAAGAAUUUGUUUUUAUCUAUAAAAGAUCAAUUUUAACAGCUGCUUUCAUGUUUAUUUAGAAAAGGCACAUGCCAUUGUUCACAUUCAAACUUUACCUACUUUAGGUGUUUAGUUUUAUGGAUGGGGUUGUACUGUUGGUAAUGAGCAGCAAGUUGCAUUCUUGUAAUAAUUACACUAAAACAUGAUAUAUACAGCAAAUCAUUUGGUGAGUAUUGAAAUUUAAAAAUCUAUAUUUAGUGUUAAAAAGUGCGUUAAAACUGCGUUGCGAUAUCAACCUUGAUUCACCUAUGUUGAAAGUCUGACGUUGAAACAACAUUGAAACCACGUUGUGAUGUCAACUUUGAUUCACUUUGCAAAACCAAAAGGUAAUUCAACGUUGAUGCAACGUUGAUCCCUGACGUUGAUUCAACGUUGAAAUGCCGGCUGAGUAGCUAAGACCAACCUAAACCAGCUAAAACCAGCCUGGCCGGCUAAGACCAGCCUGGCCAGUUUAAACCAGCUAAAACCAGCCUGGCCAGCUAAGACCAGCCAUCCUGACCAGCUAAAACCAGCCUGGCCAGCUAAGACCAGCCUGACCAGCUUAAACCAGCCUGGCCAUCUUAAACCAGCCUGACCAGCUAAAACCAGCCUGACCAGCUAAGACGAGCCACCUGACCAGCUAAGACCAGCUUAAACC